GUACAAGUUUUUCGGCGUAAAACCCGAAAAGCGUAGUGAAAGCGUUUGCCGCGUCGUUUCGUACGGCGUGUUUAUUGCAAUUGCAGAGAUGAUGGUGGUCUUAAUCGGCCGCUCGCAAUCUCGGGAUGGUCUCAUUUUCGAUUUAUCGAAUGAGCCAUACUCGUAGGUUACACGCUAAGCCCCGAAAGAUGGUGAACUAUGCCUGACAAGGACGAAGUCUGGGGAAACCCUGAUGGAGGUCCGUAACGCUUCUGACGUGCAAAUCGAUCGGCAUAGUCGGGUAUAGGGGCGAAAGACCAAUCGAACCAUCUAGUAGCUGGUUCCUUUCGAAGUUUCCUUCAGGAUAGCUAGACGUGAUUAAAUGAGUGCGCUUCGCGCGUGCUACACGUAGUCACAUGCGGUAAAGCGAAUGAUUAGAAGUAUUGGGGCCGAAACGGCUUCAACUUAUUCUCAAACUUUCAAUGUGUGUGCUCCGCGGGCUUUCAAAAUUUUUUCUCUUUCGGGAGAAAACGAAGCUCCGGACAGAUAUAACACGUCUAAGUGGGCCAUUUUUGGUAAGCAGAACUGGCGAUGUGGGAUGAACCAAACAACAAGUUAAAGUGCCUAAGCCGACGCUUAUGAGAUACCAAAAAAGGCGUUAGUAACUAAAGACAGCAGGACGGUGGCCAUGGAAGUCGGAA
rnacentral:rRNA from 1 species